rnacentral:misc_RNA from 1 species
UUUUUUUUUUUUUUUUUCAGUUGAACCAUCUGGGCCAUCCCAGGUUUUAAAAAAAAUAACAAAACAAUUUAAAAAUAACAUCAAGGCUGCUAAUGUAAUUUCCACACAUUUUAUGAAUCUUGACAUGUUAAACAACAAAAAGCCAGGUCAUUUGUUAGACUUCUAAGUUCCAAAAAUAUACCAAGUACAACAACAAAAUUAC